rnacentral:rRNA from 1 species
AAAGACAGUGAUGUGGAGCAAAACAACAAAAAGACAGUCUCAGUUCAGAUUGUAGGCUGAAACUCGCCUAUAUGAAGUCGGAAUUGCUAGUAAUCGCAGAUCAGAAUGCUGCGGUGAAUACGUUCCCGGGUCUUGUACACACCGCCCGUCACACCAUGGGAGCCGGGAAUGCCCGAAGUCGGCAGCCGAACCGUAAGGAAGGAGCCGCCGAAGGCAGGCCCGGUAACUGGGGUGAAGUCGUAACAAGGUACC